GGCCGGCGUCCCCCCGUGUGCCCCCCCCACUACAGCCCUGGUAACGACUGAUCAUUCUCAAUUAUUAGAUACAUUUUUAAUGAACUGCAAUAAAUGUUCGCUCCAGCCACAUGCACCGUGAUUCCAUCCCAGUGUCUGUAUGUUCUUAUUUCUACAGGACGCCCUCUGUAAAAUAUCUACGGUGGCCUGCGUGGACACACUGGAGGGAGACAGUGAAGGACACGUCCGCUUCAAGACCCCCGAGGAAGCCCAGGCCGUCGUCAACGACCGCUCGGCCGUCGCCAAGGAACACGGCUGGACGCUGGAUCUGCUCUCUGGUGAUCAUGAGCAAAGGUAUUUGCAGAAGAUUUUGGUGGACCGCCAAGUGAACUUGAACCGUCCGAGGGAAAAGAAACGAGGAACAGAAAAGGACAGAGAAAAAUACAAACAUGAACUCCAUGUCUGGUUGGAAAUGCAUGCAGGUGAUAUCUCCUUUGUUGUUAUGUGUGUGUGUGUUAUACGGUGGGCAAUGGUAUUGUACGGUGGGCAAAUGGGAUUCACCAAGAUGGCGGCUUGGAAUGUGCAUUUUCUUAAAGGGCUGCAUCCAGCAAAAGUCUAGGUGGACACGCCCACUUGUGAUUUCACUUAGUGAGGGGUCGUUUGCGACCGAAUCAAUCAGUCUCUAUGAUUCGUUCUCAUAGUCUCGACUCCCACUCGCUGACUCGCUGUUCACUGUGUUAAGUUAGCAGAGCGGUGAAGAGGGACUGACCUGGGCAACAACAUCCCGAUUCCGAACAUGAAGGGCUCCUCAGCUGAAGGGAACUUAAUUGUAAUGUUGUGUGUUGAUUGAUGACCGAUUGCACGAUUGUUUGAGAACGAGGGAGGAGCUGAAUCUGAAUCAGCUGAGAACCGUGCAUUCCAUGAUUGACUGCUUCCGGAAACGUGACUGAACCAACAAACAAACGAUUCUGAACGAUUCUUCUUGGCAAACUGACCGACGGGAACUGAAUCAAGGAAAAUAAUCAUGAAAUCCAUCACUAAUGUCACUAAGACACAGGCAACAGCCGGUCUUCAAACGGCUUGUCAUGGCUAAUCACACUCACACCUGGUGGCACAAUUCCACCCAUUUACCUGUUCACGGCAUCUUAAAAUGAAUACCUGUGCUUUAAAUACUUGACAUGUUUGCCAUGUUCUUGUAACAUCAUUUCAUAUUUCAACACAAAUGU